CCCUUAGACGUUCUGGGCCGCACGCGCGCUACACUGACCAGUGCAACAAGCAUCCGUCCUUGGCCGACAGGCCCGGGCAAUCUUUGAACGCUGGUCGUGAUGGGGAUAGACUUUUGCAAUUUUUGGUCUUCAACGAGGAAUUCCUAGUAAACACAAGUCAUCAACUUGCAUUGAUUACGUCCCUGCCCUUUGUACACACCGCCCGUCGCACCUACCGAUUGAAUGGUCCGGUGAAGCCUCCGGAUUGGCGCGCACCUCGGUGCCGCCGAGAAGUUGGCUAAACCUUACCAUUUAGAGGAAGGUGAAGUCGUAACA
rnacentral:rRNA from 1 species